GCUCUGGUAGCUUAAUUCUCAAAGCACUGGUCUUGUAAACCAGAGAGUGCAGACUAAACUCUGCUCAGAGCU
rnacentral:tRNA from 2 species